AUUUUUAUAGUGUAAUAAACACAUUACUUUUUCAUUGUAAAGUUGAGAUUUUAAUUUCUAAAAAUA
rnacentral:tRNA from 1 species